UCUGAUGAUGUGGAGCUUUUUUGUGUUUUGAAUUGGUCGAUCCUGGAGGGAAGGGCAGAGAAUGAGAUGGAUAUUCCUGCAGGUUGACCAAUCCAGCAGAAUCACAAGAUGGAAGUUUAGUGGAGAUUAUUCAUGGAAAAGAAGAAAAGAAACAGCACAGAGGGAUGGAUGGUGGCGGUUCAUUAGUAUCGAUGGAAGAAAAUCAGAAAGGAGGUGAUGCGGAUGAAGGUACUUUUUUGACGGUAUUAUCGGGUACAUACCUUGUCAAGUUUGAUUGUAUGGAUGGAAAUUUCCAAUGGGAUGAUUUGCUUACGAUCUAUGGUUGCAACUAGCUGUUAUUAUUUGUAGUUUCCCAACAUCAGAUUGUAUGUUUACAUCAUAUUUAUUGUAUAUUGAUUCUCAGUUCAAGCUGCUAAUUCAUAUUUCUUUGAAUCUGGUAGACAAUUGUUAAUAUUUCUUUGAGAAUCCUUGGACAAUUUGAUAGCUUGUCUUGAUUCAUACGGGCAGAAAUAUUUCAGACAAGAGCUUCAGUUUCUUAUUUUGCUAAGAGGUCAUGGAAAUAUUUGAUGUUUAGAAAUUUGGAUUGGUCUAGACUUUCUUGAAUGCUGACUAUGUUAUAGUGGACCUAUUUGUAAAAAAAAAGAAAAUCUGAAAUAAUUAAGUUGGUGUAACCUGAAUGUAAUUGACCUUACCAUUCGCUAGGUUGCAUGGUGUAAAGUACGGUGAUUGAUCUCAAGUCAAGGUGUCAUGGUGUAAAAUAUGGUGAUUGAAUCUCAACUCCUCAACACCAUGAAUGAUUAUCCUCAUAAUCAUUCUAUGUUAUUGGCAAUGAUGCUUUGCUUUGCUUUGCUUUUGGAUAUCCUUAUAAUCACACGGCAGUGGGACAAGUCCCUCUACAGUUACUGCAAAGGAACUGCUUCUGUAUCGAUCUAUGUGCUGCUUGUUUUGCCUACUCUAUGGCACACAGUAUUGUGAGUUUCUAAUGUGUAAUCCAUUGAUGUCUUGAAGUCAUUUGGGAGCAGAGGACUUACUAUUGAACACCUUGAUGGUGGGGUAGUUCCUACACCUGAUGGACGCUUCACGCCCACUCUGUUAAUGUGCAGCUGCCUUGAAAGAAGAUUCUGGUGAGAUAAGUGACUGUGCCUUGCUGUGAGGAUCCUCUGCGAUACUUCAGAGUGCAGUGACGUGUGGCUCCAGUCCCACAUGUCAGUGACCAUGCACUAUUGUAGAGGAUACACUUCCGUGCCUUGAAGACCUCAUCGUCAUGAAACCAUACCAUACCAUAACUUAUGCAAGGUCGGCCUGCAGUACCCAAGCGGCGGCGAUGAACUCAUCCGUGAGGGCAUCAAAUGAUGUGUCAUCCUGAUGCAAUUCGAGCCGGGGUAGGAGCCUGUGUGCGCCGAUCGGGCGGUGGAUAGCGGUGUCGCAUGGGCACGGUGGUGAGCCCUCAGUCGCCAGUCGCGAUAUGGAUGCUGGUGUCGCAGGUCUGGCAGGAGGAUGGAAGUGAGGAGCCCGCCUUGUGUGUAGGGGUGGUGUGCUCCCACCCCUUCUCAUGCUUCCGUGCUCCCACCUUAAAAAAAUGAAAAAUUACAUGAAAAAAUCAACCUAAAUGCUGAUUCUUGCGCAAUAGUGAGUGAUAACCAAAACAAGUCUCAACCUUCUGCCCAGCCCUUAUGCAAUUCAGGAUCUACACAGAAGUUUUCUUCACUCAUUUCAGAAACGUCAGAUGUUCAAGGAACUAACUCCAUGGCUAGUCUAUUGCUUGAAAAAGAACCAACACUAACUAAUUCACUUGGACUCUUGGAGGGCCACAUUUCCUGGCAAGUCCACUGCUAGAGAAGACUACAUUGCAUUGUGUUCAAACUGAUCUUGACAAGCUUAUGUCAAAGUAUACAGAUGAUGGUGCUGGAUCCGAAUUAAAACGGGCUGAAUUAAAAUGGCCAGACUGUCCCAACUGUCCCAACUACUACUCUUCGCGAUUCAUGUUUUAAAUGGGCUAUUUUCAUAUAUAGCGAGCGGCUGACGCCCAUAAUCUCCAACUUUCCCCAUCAAGACUAGCCUAAAAAAUCUUUACGGCCUAGUUUGUAAAAUCAAAACCCCCUUAGAGCAUCUCCAAGAGCUCUUGUAUUUUGUUAUCUAAAUAUGGAGAUUAUACCCUUUUGUAAAAUAGGAACUACAUAAUUUUAUAGAGCUAGUCCAAGAGACUAGCUAAAAUGUGAUGGUUA